GACGAACGCUGGCGGCGUGCUUAACACAUGCAAGUCGAACGGUGAAGCUCCAGCUUGCUGGAGUGGAUCAGUUGCGAACGGGUGAGUAACACGUGAGCAACCUGCCCCUGACUCUGGAAUAAGCGCUUGAAACGGCGUCUAAUACUGGAUACGAGAAGGGUCCGCAUGGGCACUUUCUGUAAAGUUUUUCGGUUGGGGAUGGGCGCGCGGCCUAUCAGCUUGUUGGUGAGGUAAUGUCUCACCAAGGCGACGACGGAUAGCCGGCCUGAGAGGGCGAACGGCCACACUGGGAGGGAGAGACGGACCAGACGCAUACGGGAGGCAGGAGGGGGGAAGAUAGCACAAAGGGCGAAAGCAUGAUGCAGCGACGCCGCGUGAGGGAGGACGGACUUCGGGUGGUAAACCGAUUUCAGCAGGGAAGAAGCGAAAGUGACGGUACCGGCAGAAGAAGCACCGGUUAACUACGU
rnacentral:rRNA from 1 species